ACUGGAGUGGGGACCUCACGUAGAACAAAGAGCACUCCUGGCUAGCUCAAUUUACAUAGGGCAGGCCCAGGGGGAGGGAAAAAACAUAUAAAAAGAGGAGCCAAAUGGCCGGGGGUCUCUCUCUUCUGUGCCCAAAGGGCUCUCUCUCUCUCUCUCUCUCUCUCUCC